GGGUUCGAACCCUACACUCCACGCUAUGUUUUUUUGAAUUAAACCAUGUGCUCAGCCUUCAGAUCCAGCGCAUCGCAUGUGCAUAUAGAUAUCGUGCACCCUCGCAGCUUCACCAUGGGAUCUCCAGAUCUCUAAAUCCAAGGAUCAUUAUAAUGCAGGCACACCAUGGACAUUCAAAGGCUCGCCACACAGGAUCACAACCAGUGAGACAAAAAGAAAGAGACAAUCACAUACCACAUAUUGAAUGACAUGCCUGUUAGUGCGGUAGCAGAGAGAUGCGUUGACGAUAUAAAUGAUGUUGUUGAUGGUUCUUUGCUUACUAGAAUAAGAAGAUUAGCUCCCACCGGUUCUCACUGUUAUCAGCAAUGGGAGAGUACAUAUUGACUGCUUACCUUCCUGAGUGGUGUCUUCGCAAAUUUGGCUACAAGUAGUACAUACCACGACAAUUCUCUAAUGUACCAUCUCCCAAUACGAAGGAUCUUGGUGCACAUUAUCCUCUUACCCAUUUUUACUCUUCUUGACCACCUUUUUGAACUUAAACUUCUCAGGUGGCGGAUACAUAGAAGUUGUACAAAGAUAUGUAAGUUCACACUCUUUGAAAAACAAUAUCUAAGGUGCUGAAAUACUUCAAAUCUUCACAUUUCUUGUUCAAGUAUA